CAGGCCAUCACGAGGCCCUCCAAGGCAGACUCAUUUCAGGUGCAGCGUGGAUUCUCAUGACUGAUCAUCCAAAAGAUAAGUCGGGGGCCACGGCCUGGAGAUGGCGGAGUAGCAGGUUGGGAAUCCCUGGGACAGACUUACAAAUGAGCAGAGGGGAAAGCAAUCUUCUGCAAGGGCCUCUUAGGACAGCUAAAGGGAGAGGCUCUGCUUUUGAUGGCAGCUUUCAGGCGGGCAGUGCAGAACAGCUCCUGUGUGUGUCGUGUUCCCUGGUGUGUCUUUGGGAUCCCUUUUGCCUUUUCCCCUCGAGGCCCUCACCACAAGCAUGAUGUGUCGUGUUUCAUGUCCCCCCUGUUUGUCACGUUCUGUGUCACGGGUGUCUGCAGGUAUUUUUGCCGGAGCUGUUCUGCCCUGCCGCAUGGCGUGCUUCAGUAGGACGAACCAUGGGGAGUGGGAAUUUGUAAUGUGGGCUGUACUUGGGCUCUAGAUGCUGUUCCUAGAUUGACAUAGGGCGUUUGAAGCUUUUGAGUUAUUGUGGAGGUGUUUGACAUAUGUUCUAACUUUCUUUCAGGUGUGCGUGCAGAGGGUCAGGGUUAGGAGGUGCCGGGCAUUCUUAGGAGCACUCUGUCUGAGAGACACCAGCCCGGUGCCAGCAGGACCUUCCCAGGUGAUGAGGUGGCCUUUCUCUGCACCUGACAGGGACCAGCAUCCCCAGAUGUCUGAGAGAUAAGUAGAGGGCUGUGACCCACAGAGGAGAUGAACGUGGGGUGCUUGGUCAGGACUCCCUGAGCUGGGAGUCUGAGUUGGCUCUGGCAAUGAGUGUAGCCAAGAUGUUGCCCCUUAGGCCCCAUAAAAGCAAAGUCUCCCUUUUGAUCCCAGUGCUGAGGUGCGCAGCAGGGCAGAGCAGUCCCGGUGUGUCUCGUGUCACUUGUCUUUUGUGUAUUGUGUGUUGUCUGGAUAUCUCAUGUCUCUUAUCUUAGCCCUGUGAGGGGCCUCUCAGCAACCUUUCCUAGCAUCCGUGAUCUCAGCGUUCCUCGCCCUGGCACCCAUGCCAUAGAACUUUUGACUGGGGAGCUCACACAGGCAUCAGAAAUGCAUCUCGCUUUAGAAGCGUCCAGUCAGAUGUCUUGUCAUGUCUUGUUCUGAGCUGUACGGACUGCCAUGCUGUGCAAUGAUCCAUUAUAGCAGACUAGGACUUGUAAGGAUGUGAGUUUAGGGAGAGGAUUCUGACUGUAGGAUUCUCGGGCAUCCAUCUUUGCAGUUUUUGGAAUAAAUCAUUCAGUUUGCAUCUUCUUCCUGCAGGGUUCUUCUGAGCCUCAUCAGCUCGCCAUCAUCUUCAACUCUUCUUCUUUUGCCUUCUCUCAGUCCUUGCAGCCAUUUUCCUUGAUAAGAGAUUUCCGUUCCUGUUGUGUCCCCAGUGUUUGUCAUGUCUUGUGUGUCCUGUGUCACGGGUGUCUGCACGCAUUUGGAUGGGGCUGCUCUGCCCUGCUGCACAGCCUGGUGCAAUAGGAGAAGUCCCAGGGACUUGGAAUGUGUAAUGUGGGGCGUAGUUGGACUCCAGAUGGGAUUUGUAGAUGGACACAGGAUAUCUGGAGCUCAUCAGUUAUCCUGUAACAGUUUGACUCUUGUCCUAACUUUCUUUUCAGAUUGAGAUGGAUUAAAUCUGUGCCAGAGGGCCCCAUCCCGGGUGAGGGGAUUGCCCCGAGCAGGAGGUCAAUCUGGAUACCAGCAGCCAAGGUGAGCAGCGGAGAGAAGUGGUUGUUAUUGCUCAGCUCUCAAGCACAACAAUUUUU